rnacentral:rRNA from 1 species
AAGUCUUUGAAUGGUUUUAAAUCAUCCAGUCGUGACUUCUUUGAGACGCGAUUCUUUGAGACAAAAGUUAUCACUACUUUCAUCAAUGGAUCUCUUGGCUCUCGCAUCGAUGAAGAACGCAGCGAAUCGCGAUAUGUAAUGUGAAUUGCUGAUCUACAGUGAAUCAUCCAAUCUUUGAUCGCACCUUGCGCUCCUCGGUGUUCCGAGGAGCAUGCCUGUUUGAGCGUCAGUAAAUUCUCAACCCCUCUCGAUUUGCUUCUAGUGGGGCUUGGAUAGUGGGGGCUGCCGGACACCCGAAAUUCUUUCCGGGACUCGGGCUCCUCUGAAAUGCAUCGGCUUGCGGUCGACUUUCGACUUUGCGCGACAAAGCUUUCGGCGUGAUAAUGAUCGCCGUUCGCUGAAGCGCAUGAAUGAAUGGUCCCGUGCCUCUAAUCAGUCGACGCCUUCUGGGCGUCUUCCUUAUAGACGUUUGACCUCCAAUCAGGUAGGACUACCCGCUGAACUUAAUCAUAUCUAUAAUCGGAGGAAGAGAAACUAACAAGGAUUCCCCUACUAACUGCGAGUG